rnacentral:rRNA from 1 species
GACGUAAGGUGCAAGCGUUGUCCGGAAUUAUUGGGCGUAAAGAGCUCGUAGGCGGUCUGUUGCGUCGGCUGUGAAAACCCGAGGCUCAACCUCGGGCCUGCAGCCGAUACGGGCAGACUAGAGUUCGGCAGGGGAGACUGGAAUUCCUGGUGUAGCGGUGAAAUGCGCAGAUAUCAGGAGGAACACCGGUGGCGAAGGCGGGUCUCUGGGCCGAUACUGACGCUGAGGAGCGAAAGCGUGGGGAGCGAACAGG